rnacentral:rRNA from 1 species
AACGGGUGCGUAAUGCGUAUGUAAUCUACCUUGUACAGGGAAAUAGCUUUUGGAAACAAGAAUUAAUAUCCCAUAUGUUGCUUUAUCGUCGGAUAGGGCAAUGAAAGCUCCGGCGGUGCAAGAUGAGCAUGCGUCCUAUUAGCUAGUUGGUAGGGUAAUAGCCUAUCAAGGCGAUGAUAGGUAGGGGUUCUGAGAGGAUGAUCCCCCACACUGGCACUGAGACACGGGCCAGACUCCUACGGGAGGCAGCAGUAGGGAAUAUUGGUCAAUGGGCGCAAGCCUGAACCAGCCACGCCGCGUGCAGGACGAAGGCCUAAAGGUCGUAAACUGCUUUUGUACGGGAUAAAUAAGUCUCUGCGGAGACCGAUGAUCGUACCGUAAGAAUAAGCACCGGCUAACUCCGUGCCAGCAGCCGCGGUAAGACGGGGGGUGCAAGCGUUAUCCGAAUUUACUGGGUUUAAAGGGUGCGUAGGCGGCCUAAUAAGUCAGUGGUAAAAGCUAACGGCUCAACCGUUAAAGUGCCAUUGAUACUGUUAGGCUCGAGUAUAGUUGAGGUGGGCGGAAUUCUACAUGUAGCGGUGAAAUGCUUAGAUAUGUAGAGGAACACCAAUAGCGAAGGCAGCUCACUAAACUAUUACUGACGCUGAGGCACGAAAGCGUGGGGUAGCAAACAGGAUUAGAUACCCUGGUAGUCCACGCCGUAAACGAUGAUCACUCGA